rnacentral:rRNA from 1 species
UACGUAGGGGCCUAGCGUUGUCCGGAUUUAUUGGGCGUAAAGAGCUCGUAGGCGGUUUGGUGAGUCGGGUGUGAAAUCUCCACGCUCAACGUGGAGGGGCCACCCGAUACUGCCAUGACUAGAGUCCGGUAGGGGAGUGUGGAAUUCCCGGUGUAGCGGUGAAAUGCGCAGAUAUCGGGAGGAACACCUGAGGUGAAGGCGGCUUGCUGGGACGUUACUGACGCUAAGGCGCGAAAGCGUGGGGAGCGAACAGG